GGGAAGAAAGUAGAGUGGCGCACGGGUGAGUAACACGUAAGUAAUCUACCUCUGAGUGGGGAAUACCGUCCGGAAACGGACGCUAAUACCGCAUAAUGCAGCGGCACCGCAAGGUGACAGUUGUUAAAGAUUUAUCGCUUAGAGAGGAGCUUGCGGCAGAUUAGCUAGUUGGUAAGGUAAUGGCUUACCAAGGCUACGAUCUGUAACCGGUCUUAGAGGACGGUCGGUCACACUGACACUGAAUAACGGGUCAGACUCCUACGGGAGGCAGCAGUCGGGAAUUUUGGGCAAUGGGCGAAAGCCUGACCCAGCAACGCCGCGUGAAGGAUGAAGUAUUUCGGUAUGUAAACUUCGAAAGAAUAGGAAGAAUAAAUGACGGUACUAUUUAUAAGGUCCGGCUAACUACGUGCCAGCAGCCGCGGUAAUACGUAGGGACCAAGCGUUGUUCGGAUUUACUGGGCGUAAAGGGCGCGUAGGCGGCUUUGUAAGUCACUUGUGAAAUCUCUGAGCUUAACUCAGAACGGCCAAGUGAUACUGCAAUGCUAGAGUGCAGAAGGGGCAAUCGGAAUUCUUGGUGUAGCGGUGAAAUGCGUAGAUAUCAAGAGGAACACCUGGGGUGAAGACGGGUUGCUGGGCUGACACUGACGCUGAGGCGCGAAAGCCAGGGGAGCAAACGGGAUUAGAUACCCCGGUAGUCCUGGCCCUAACGAUGAAUACUUGGUGU
rnacentral:rRNA from 1 species